rnacentral:rRNA from 1 species
ACCGGACCGACAGCAAUAUGAAGGCCAGGCUGAAGACUUUGCCGGAUUAGCUGAGAGGUGGUGCAUGGCCGUCGUCAGUUCGUACUGUGAAGCAUCCUGUUAAGUCAGGCAACGAGCGAGACCCACGCCCACAGUUGCCAGCGUACUCUCUGGAGUGACGGGUACACUGUGGGACCGCCGCUGCUAAAGCGGAGGAAGGAAUGGGCAACGGUAGGUCAGUAUGCCCCGAAUAUCCCGGGCUACACGCGAGCUACAAUGGUUGGUACAAUGGGUAUCUACCCCGAAAGGGGACGGGAAUCUCCUAAAACCAAUCUUAGUUCGGAUUGAGGGCUGCAACUCGCCCUCAUGAAGCUGGAAUCCGUAGUAAUCGCGUUUCAACAGAACGCGGUGAAUACGUCCCUGCUCCUU